AGAGUUUGAUCAUGGCUCAGAUUGAACGCUGGCGGCAUGCCUAACACAUGCAAGUCGAACGGCAGCAUGGCAAGUAGCAAUACUUGCUGAUGGCGAGUGGCGGACGGGUGAGAAACGCGUAGGAACCUGCCCUUGAGAGUGGGACAACCCGAGGAAACUCGGGCUAAUACCGCAUGAUCUCGAAAGAGCAAAGGCUGGGU
rnacentral:rRNA from 1 species